GUUGGUAUUUUAAAAACGCACAAAUUUGUUAUGAAGUUAAAAAACGUGGCUUUUAAUCACAAUAGCAUUGAGGCUCAAAUCUCAGCAAUUAGAAAUUUGCUAGAUGCUUUUGAUCACAUACAGUUCACCCACUUUAAUCCUUGUCUAUUUGAAAUAGGUUUGUACAAGAUUUGCUAAGUUAGGCCGACAAUUAUUCUUGAUAACUUCCUGCCAUCAUGUCAGAGAGCUUCAUAUGGCCGUAGCCGCAAAUAAAAUCGUUAAGCCAGCGAAUAAACUACUUUAAUGACAAAACCAUAAAAGGUUGAAAAAUAGUAAUAAGACUUUUGAAAAGUGCAAAGAUUAUUGCGAACUUGUGGAAAAAAAUCAGACCAUUAGGUGAAAAUUAACAAAAUAAAGAGCUAAUUAACAGGCCUUGAAUUCCAUAAAAUUUAAGUUUCAUUUCUCUAAAAUCAACAAGGUUUUUAUUCUGAGUAAUAAAAUACUCAAAGAGAUCAAUAAAGUUGCUGACUGCAUUUCUCGCUCUUGGGCAUCUUGGUUCUUGACCUGCAAGUUUAAAGCUCAAUAAACGGAAGUAAAGAUUUCUCUACAUGGAGUAGUAUACCUUCUGAUUUCAACGAUUUUGACAAUCAUGAAACAGUAAAACAUAUAGAAAGUUGCAAUUCGUCAUCAAUGUUGGGAAAACUUAAUCCGAUAACUCCAACUAAUGUUUUAGCUGCACUAAAAUGUAACAAAGUUGAUAUUACAAACCAGGAUUUACUUGAUACAUCAUCUGAAAACUGGAGACAAAGUUGUUGCAGUAAAACAAGCAUAUCAAACAUUUCUUAAAAAAAUAAGUCCGAGUUAGAUGCUAUAACAAUCAAGCCGAUUCAUCCUUUAUCUAAAAGUCAAUCAUUUGAAGGUUAUAAAUCCAGACUGUGUGAAUUAGAAAAAAUGAGUACAUCUUUGCCCAUGUUAAUGCAAGAUAAAGAUAAUAAAUUUGCAGACUAUACUGAUUAUAUCGCAAGAAAAGAUACUUUAUUUUCUGAAUUCUAAAUGGUGAAGAAGCUAAUUGAAAGCCAACGCGAUAAUAUUGUUAAUCUUCAACAACAAGAAUCAGAAACGAUGAAUGAAAUUAGGAGAAACGAGGCGAUAGGAUAUAAUUUUAUCAAUAUUCUUAACAAACAUGAAACUUUAAAAGUUGAAGAAUUUUUAAAAUAGAACGCAAUUAUCAGAAAAAUACUAAUGUUAGAAAACGAAAUAGAAGAAUGGUACAGAAGUUU
rnacentral:misc_RNA from 1 species